GGAGAAGGGAGAGGGAGAGAGGCAGAUGAAGGAAAGAAUGGGGUUUCUCGCCGAGCGGUGGACAAGAGGUAUCGCCGUUGGAAGUCCAUGAUCCCCGGUCUGUACGACUGAUUCGCCUACCGGAGCCUCUCGGUGCUUUCGGUACUCCAAGUCUCCAUCUCUCCUCUCUCUCUUCCCCUUCUCUCUUUUUCUUCUUCCUUCUUUAUGUGAUUCUUGCCUCUGCUUGGGUUUUGACCCAAUGCCGAGGGUUUCUGUCCUAUGGUCGAGAGAGGCAGAUGAAGGAAAGAAUGGGGUUUCUCGCCGAGCGGUGGACAAGAGGUAUCGCCGUUGGAAGUCCAUGAUCCCCGGUCUGUACGACUGAUUCGCCUACCGGAGCCUCUCGGUGCUUUCGGGUCGGUACCCUUAGCCGAGCAGAUUUGAAGAAAAGGAGGAUCGUGGUGCAGUGCUGGUGGACCUCACGCUUAGAUGGAUGGGGACGACUCUGAUCGAAGUGAUGAUGGGAAAAGAAGAUCAGGAGGAUCGGGGGGGCGCUGGUGGAAAGGAAUGAUGGGUAUGAAGAAAAGAAUGGGAGAUUCCAAGAAAAUAUACUUGAGUGCAUAGAAGCAACCAAUUGGCCCCUUAUUGUCAUGUUUAUUUGGUGGGUGCCAUAGUCAUUAGAACUAUUUUGAAACUCUUGCCUUGGGGAAAGCUUGCAUAAGUUUGAUAACAUUGGGUAAUUCCAUUGUCACCAUCAACUUGCACUCAUGUUAAUUUGAUUGGAAGAACUGAGGAGGUGGAGGUGGAGAUGGUUGCUUGUUAUUAUUUCACUGCCAGCCUCAAAAAAUGCUGUUUUCAUCCUGGUGUUCUGACGACAACCUUAUGUUAGAGAUGGCAUUGUUUUUCUACAUUCUUGGUGUCCAAAAAAAGCUUGGAAUUGUUAUUGUGGUGGGUUGGCUUCAUGGGGGUUUCACAUAGUACUUGAGAGGUCCUCAUUACUUUCUUUGUUUUACUUUUCUGGGUGUAAGGUGGUUAUCAUCCAGAGCGGUACUUCUCUUUAUAGUUAAAGGGAAGUAAAUUACAUAUAGUUAAAAAGAAGUAAAUUACACUUUUUUUUAUUAAAAAUGCCCAUAGAAGAGGGAGGAAAAAUUGGGCGAGGUUAGAAAUAUCUGAAGAAUUACUAAUAUGGAUUAUUCUUUCAACAUGGUCAUAAUUCUUCUA